AUUUUUGUCUUUCUUUUUUUUAACUUCUUUCCUAUCAUGUCUGCCUGCCUUGGUGGACAAGAUGCCUUGCUUCUAAUGUCACAUUGUCUCUUGCCCCAGGAAAGUGGAACUGAGAAGUGCCCCAGCAGGCAAGGACUGCAGUCCUGCGUCCGUCCGUCCCCAACUUCCUUCUACAUCUUCAUCAGGGCUUCCUGCACUUCCAGCAGCAACUCUUAAGAAUUCACCCUGAACUCUAACCCCAUUGAACUAGAUGAGUUCCAGUUCCCCAGAGACAAACCCACCAGAAACCACCACACAGGUCCGGCUGACCGAUGGAGAAACUUCUCAAAGCACAAUGGAACACCUGUGACGAAUGUGGGUCUUACAGGGGUCUCUGAUGAUUUUUACUUUCCUCCUGCUGCUGUUCUGCAUUGUUUGGAUUUGUUUCCCAGCUAUUCUUUUUACCAAAAUAGGAGACUUCAUGGAACACCUGGGAUCUAUCAACGUUUAAACGUAGAGAGCCUCGAACUCUGGAUUAAGUAAACCUUUCCUCCUGCGAUUUGUUACAAAACUAUUCACCACCCUCACUACUGCCAUCAGCAUCCCUGACAGGGAACUCAACCCUCUCCGGCAGUGCCCGGC